GAUGAACGCUGGCGGCGUGCCUAAUACAUGCAAGUCGAGCGAACGGACGAGAAGCUUGCUUCUCUGAUGUUAGCGGCGGACGGGUGAGUAACACGUGGAUAACCUACCUAUAAGACUGGGAUAACUUCGGGAAACCGGAGCUAAUACCGGAUAAUAUUUUGAACCGCAUGGUUCAAAAGUGAAAGACGGUCUUGCUGUCACUUAUAGAUGGAUCCGCGCUGCAUUAGCUAGUUGGUAAGGUAACGGCUUACCAAGGCAACGAUGCAUAGCCGACCUGAGAGGGUGAUCGGCCACACUGGAACUGAGACACGGUCCAGACUCCUACGGGAGGCAGCAGUAGGGAAUCUUCCGCAAUGGGCGAAGCCUGACGGAGCAACGCCGCGUGAGUGAUGAAGGUCUUCGGAUCGUAAAACUCUGUUAUUAGGGAAGAACAUAUGUGUAAGUAACUGUGCACAUCUUGACGGUACCUAAUCAGAAAGCCACGGCUAACUACGUG
rnacentral:rRNA from 1 species